UUGCUUGGGUGAAUAGAAAUGAAGAAACACAAAAGAAAGCUGCCAAUUGGAUAUGGGUAUUGUAGCUGACAGGUCUUGGGAGCUGAGUCAGGGUCAGGGAGACUGUGAUGGCAAUGAGAAGUCAACACACUGAGGAUAGGGAGAAAGAAGAUGAGUCUGGGAGAGAAAGAGAAUGAUUCUUCUGGCCGAGGGAAAGGAAGAAUAUCUGUUCCUGCAACUGCACUGAUUCUAGAAACACUCUCAAUUCAAACUCUCUUGAGAUGAAAAAACUGAGGUAUAGAAUGAUACAACAGGGCCAGGCAUGGUGGCUCACAUCUGUAAUACCAGCACUUUGGGAGGCCAAGGGAGGAGGAUCAUUUGAACCCAGAUGUUUGAGACCAGCCUGAGCAAAACAGGAAGAACCCAUCUCUACAAAAAAAUUAUCUAGUGCUGACCUGCUUGUUGAAUGCUGGGAUCUCCAGAAGAGGGAGGCAGACAUCACACACCAGCUGGCAAGUGGGAGCUGGUAUGCAACAUGCCCCAAUACCACUCCCCUUCUGCCAUCCCUAUCUCCUAAUGAUGCCUCCUUUUGGCCAAACCCACCUUUGGCUGGAGGGCAACAGAGCCCAUUGACAUGGUCCCCUUGCAUCUGCUACCUGGGGAGAAAAGCAGGAUGGACACUGAAUCUAGAGAAAUGAAGGAACCCAUCCAGAAGAGUACUGCUUCUUUAUGCUUUUGUAGGAACAGUGUCACGGGAUGCUGGGGACAGCAGUUGGAGUGAUGCAUCUAUGGGCCAAGGGAAUGCCAAGGAUUGCCAGCUAUCACCUGGAGAGAAGCAUGGGACUGAUGCCCUCACGGAGCCCUCCGAGAGAGCCAACCCUGCUGACACCUUGAUUUCAGACUUCUAGCCUCCAGAACUGUGAGAGAAUAAAUUUCUGUUUUCUUAAGCCACCCAGUUUGUAGCACUUUAUUAUGGCAGCCCUGGGAAACUAACACACUACCCUUAUUUUCAUGCUGAGGAAUGUAAGAUAGUUUUAGUCACCACCUGCUUCUAUACAAGUUUUAUGAUCUCUCCUCUUAGUACUGCAGAAGUUAUGGGUUUUACCAUUUUAGUAUAUAGCAUAAUAUAUCCAGCACACAUUAUAUAUUUAGCACUUUAUUAGAGUACCCUAGUUUUCUCUUCUGAAAAACUGUGAGCCUGGAUUUGAUGAUUUCUAAGGCUUUUAUUUUUUCCCUAUGUAUUCUCUGAUCAGAAUACCCUGUUCAAUGAAGCCACUGGUAAUGAAGCUCAUUAAAAAUGAAAUCACUUAGGCAGGGAGUUGGAGAGUGACUCGUUUAAAAUGUUGCCUCCUGGAAACUGAAGUUCAUUGAACACAAAAGCUUUGGGCGGGACUCAGAUUGGUAGGGACUCUGCAGUCUGAUGAAUGGGUCUGGUGACAGGGAGCAUCUGAUCCCGUCUAGGGAGGGUAGGGAGAGGGAGUCUGGAGAGGGACGCGUAAACAAGCCAUCUUCAGACAUACUACCUACUCCUCUCCCAUGUCUCCUGCAUGCUUGGAUGUUACACUUCUUUAAAGAGCAGGCGACAGGUUGCCCCUGGGAUGCUCAGAGCCAGGCAAGGUGGGACUUGCCCCUGCUCCCCCUUCCUCUAUCUGAAAAGUUGCCGUUAGUCCCACGGGGCCCCUUCCUGUCACACUGACACAGCUUGCUGGUUUUUGUUUUCUUUCACUGUCCUUUUUCUUUUUUCAAAAGCUCCUCACAGGAAGGGUUUGGCAGGCAGCUCAGGCCCCUGCUGCGAUGGAGAAUCUAGCAAACUUGUCCCGCUGAUUGAUUAAACACCGAGGAGGCUCCAAGACCCGAGCAUGAAAUUCCUUGGCUCUGAUUGUGAUAAGGGUAGAGCUCGUUAAUGAAUGGAGUCUGAUUACAGCCCAGCCUCUCCAGUGCCUCCUGUUGCCCCAAUUUGGGGGAUUCUUCUGCUUUGAGUACAUCUUGGAAAGCAGCACAGAGUUCUCAGCAGGAUCUGCGACGUCUGAUCCAAGAAAGAUUUUUGUUGUUGUUGUCAUUGUUGUUUUUUAAUCCUGAUCGUUGCUCUCAAACCCUUCUCUACACAGCUUGGCGUGGGGGGUAGUUGAUUCCAGUGAAACCAGGUGGAAGCAGUGCCACUGCCACCUGUGAGGAGGAAAUGGGCAACAUUCUGCUUCAUCCAUCCUGAACAUUCAGGCCCGAAUGUUCCAAACUGAUACUAAACUGAGACUCUCUGAAGGCCCAUGGGGAAGCCUGGCAUUGUAUAACCGUUUCUUCUAGCAAGGCUCUCUCCUCACAUUCACAGCCUGCCACUUAAAGCUUUGGGAGACAAUGUAGUCGACCUGUAGUUCUUCCUGUAUGUGGUUCCUGGUCAGUCACUGGGCAAGGAGGAGGCUGCAGGCAUUGUGCUAUGCCCUUAUCUCUCUCUCUCUGUUUGUCUCUUAUCUAGUUAAAAUCAGGAAAUGGAGCUUGGUCCUUUGUUUGUAAAGUAAGGGUGUGGAAAAUGAUCCCUAAGGUACCUCCUAGUUUAGAAAAGUCUUAAUGCUGUUUUAUAAUAACUCACCCACCUCUCCUCUUCCAUGAGCUCAGAGCUGCCCAGCCCUAGGAAUGUGUUUCUGCCACAACAAGGAAUACAGAAGGAGUUGAGCAGGAAACCUGCCUCCUAUCAGAUUCACCUGAGGACGUGGGUUGUCACGAGCUCCCCAAACAAUAAAGCACUUUACGACAUAGGAGGCAUUAUUAUUAAGCUGUUUUCAGUCCCUGAUACCUGCAGGUUGUAGGACCAUGGUGCAUGAAGGAUUUUAAGGAGGCAUUUGAGAAGAAUGAGACAGUAGACAGUGAGGUCACAUGACAAUCUGGGGAUGGGUGGAGGCACUUUUGAAAUGUGAAAGGGACAUAGACUGUAUAUCUGGAGCACAAAGGCAGGUUUCACCAGCUUUGUCCUGCUCAGCACCAGUUGGAAGAGAGCAUCUGGCUUUGAAGUGUCUAAAGCCAGGCAUGAUGCUGGAUUCUACAGCUGGGUUUUGCUUCAUCACCCAGGCUGGAGUGCAGUGGCAUGAUUGGAGCUCAGUGCAGCCUUCAAUCCCUGGGCUCAAGGAAUCCUCUCACCUCAGCCUCCCAAAUAGCUAGGACUACAGGCUGGAGUGCAAUGGCAAGAUCUUUGCUCACUGAAACCUCUGCCUCCUGGAUUCAAGUGAUUCUCCUGCCUUAGCCUCCACAGUAACUGGGAUUACAGAUUUCUGAUAACUUUGGAGAUUGUGAGAGCAGAAUGGAGGGAUAACUUUCUGUAAUCAUGGAGAGCUGAAAUAUUCAUGAAUAUGAAGCACAACAGGAAUUAACUGCAUAGACUGAACUAGUAGAAGACUGAAGUAAUCCUUUUGACUUUUUGCUUAAAAUGUGGCUGAUCCUUUGUUUCAUUUUUCAGAGUCAAGGAAACUUUUCUUUUGAGGUAUUGACAGGUUUUAACAAUUAAAUACACUGUACUUCUGUGAAAGAAAUUUGGAGCUUAUUUGUUUCUCUCUAUCUGAUUUCUCCAGAAUUUAGAAACUAUGUGUGAGUAUUCUUAACUUAUGGAAAUAUAGUUAUUUACAUAAGUGCAAUAAGAAUCUGUUUUCAUUUGUAACAGACACAAUUAGAGAAGCUAAUUAUUUUACCAAGGCUUUCACUGGAGUAGUGUGCUUUCCUUUAAGGAAUCAAACUUUACUUACAGAGCCAAUGAAAGCCCCUUGGGAAAAGUGGCCUCAUACCUUGUUUUCACUGUCCUGGUACAGGGUUCCUGGCAUGGGAUAAGUAAAGAAUAUUGCUUUCUGACAGGCCAAGGAGCCCCAAGUCAUCUUGAGACCUCAAGAAGAAAGGAAUUCACCCAACUUAUAGGUAUUUAAUGGUACAAAUCCACGGCUGGGCUCAGCUUUAAAAAAGUCUUAUCUGAGACUCCUUCUACGGAACAAAGUUCCAUCGAAACCAAUUUAAAAAGCCCAUGUGAAAAAUAAUUAUUCUUGCUGCACUUUAUAGAAUUAAUCUGGCCAAGUGUAAUAAAGCAAAUUGGUACUACCAUAAUUUGACUUUAAAAUGGGAAAUUGGAGAGAAAAAAAAUAUGUUUCAAAACUACAGUAUACCUUUUGUUGAUUCUAGUCUUGCCUAAUAUUUUUCAAUUUUUAUUAUUUUCUACAGUUUGGACUGAACUCUAAUUUUCCCUGGCUACAAGUCUCCAAAAUAAUGUUUUCAAUUUUUUUCUUCCUUUUUCUUGUUUUCCUUUUCCCCCCAAUUUUUCCUAAUUUGAAAUCACUGAAAACUAAGUUGUGUUUUCUUAAAGCCCUGUGAACUGAAACUAGACAACUUAGCUUCAGAAGACAAUAAUAGCAACCCAUUCACAUACAUAAGCCAACUCUCAUACCUGCCUACUGAUGUAUGGACUUCAGAGUAAUGUGGCC
rnacentral:lncRNA from 1 species